rnacentral:rRNA from 1 species
GCAUAUCAAUAAGCGGAGGAAAAGAAACUAACAAGGAUUCCCCUAGUAACUGCGAGUGAAGCGGGAAAAGCUCAAAUUUAAAAUCUGGUGGUCUUUUGGCCAUCCGAGUUGUAAUUUAGAGAAGCGUCUUCCGCGCUGGACCGUGCAUAAGUCUCCUGGAAUGGAGCGUCAUAGAGGGUGAGAAUCCCGUCUUUGGCAUGGAUCCCAGGGCUUCUGUGAUGCGCUCUCAAAGAGUCGAGUUGUUUGGGAAUGCAGCUCAAAAUGGGUGGUGAACUCCAUCUAAAGCUAAAUAUUGGCGAGAGACCGAUAGCGAACAAGUACCGUGAGGGAAAGAUGAAAAGCACUUUGGAAAGAGAGUGAAACAGUACGUGAAAUUGUUGAAAGGGAAACGCUUGAAGUCAGUCGCGUCGACCGAGACUCAGCCUCGCCUUGGCUUGGUGUACUUCUCGGCUUGACGGGUCAGCAUCAAUUUUGAUCCUUGGAUAAUGGCAAGGGAAAGGUAGCACCUUUACAGGUGUGUUAUAGUCCUCUGUCGGAUGCAAGGGUCGGGAUUGAGGAACUCAGCACGCACCAACGAUUUCGUUGGUGUCGGGGCCUUGGCCUACGUUACGUGCUUAGGAUGCUGGCAUAAUGGCUUUAAACGACCCGUCUUGAAACACGGACC